UACGUAGGGGGCAAGCGUUGUCCGGAUUUAUUGGGCGUAAAGAGCGUGUAGGCGGCCUGGAAGGUCAGCUGUGAAAACUCGAGGCUCAACCUCGAGACGUCGGUUGAAACCACCUGGCUAGAGUCCGGAAGAGGAGUGUGGAAUUCCCGGUGUAGCGGUGAAAUGCGCAGAUAUCGGGAAGAACACCCGUGGCGAAGGCGGCACUCUGGGACGGUACUGACGCUGAGGCGCGAAAGCCAGGGGAGCGAACGGG
rnacentral:rRNA from 1 species